UCUGAAUGUUCAGCCUCCUUGUCCUCUGCAACAUGACAUUAGCCCACAGUUGCCAUAUGAGACAUCUGUGGUUUUCCUGUGAACAAGCUCCACAUCUGCUUUUCUAUUGAAACAUGUCAUCUUUGUCCCAGUCACUGCCACCAUCUUCUGUGAUGUCAGACUAACAGUAUGUAUGUAGCUGUCUAAAAAAUGACAUUGUUCAUCCCUGAUAUGGCUGGUUGUCUGUUUUUGCUCAUCCUCCUUUUCGAUGCCUUCCAGCACCUCAAAGCCAAAGAUCUUCCUCAGCCCAGUCUYACAGUGAUUCCUGCAGUCAUCAAAGAGAAAGACUCAGUUCAGCUGAACUGUCAGACUCCUCCAUCUGUCUCUGAGUGUUACUUCAAAAUGGCUGGGCAAGUGGAAUUCACCCUUCCAUCACCCUGUCAACAGACACUCACAGGAACACUACUGGUGAGGUGGACAGGUCAGAGUUCACCAGCUGAGGUCAAAAUGCAAUGUCAGUACAGUGCUACAGGUUCACAGUUUAGAUCCAUAUACAGUGAGUCUUCAACAGUCACAAUUCGGGACAUUCCCCAGCUGACAGUGAGUUCUACAGUCAUCAGAGAGACAGAAUCAGUUCAGCUGAGUUGUGAGACUCCUCCAUCUCUCCCUGUGUCUCACUGUUACUUCAACAUAGAGGGGGGAGAGAAUCCUCCAGACUCAUCCUGUACUCAGACACUCACAGGAACAGAGCUGCUCAAGAGGGCAGAUCAAACGUUUCCAGAUGUGGUCAAAGUGACGUGUUACUAUGCUGUAAGGAGAUCUCACACAUCUCCUUUUAGUGACCCUGUCUCAGUCACUGUUCAGGAUCCACCUCCUCCCAGGCUAACAGUCAAUUCUACAGUCAUCAGAGAGAGAGACUCAGUUCAGCUGAGCUGUCAGACUCCUCCAUCUGUCUCUGUGUCUCAGUGUUACUUCUACACAGAGGGGAGAGAUCCUAAACCCUCACCCUGUACGAGUUCACUAACGGGGACUGAGCUGCUCUCGUGGGCAGGUCAAAGUUCAUCUGCUGAGAUCAAACUGAGAUGUUUUUACACAGUAGAAACUCACUAUACAUCGACGCACAGUGGUUCUGUCUCUGUUACUAUUCUUGAGCCACUUGAUUUCCUGUGGCGUCACAUCCUCACUGUGUUGGUCCUACUGGCUACUUGUGGAGUACUUAUACACUAUGUCAUCUCCCAUCAAUGCCCAAACGCUGUUCCAAAGAGAAGCAGGAGGGUGGACCAGAGAAAUGAAGACUUUUCGUUGACAGUGUGCUAA
rnacentral:lncRNA from 1 species